rnacentral:rRNA from 1 species
GUAGGGAAUAUUGGGCAAUGGUCGGAAGACUGACCCAGCCAUGCCGCGUGCAGGAAGACGGCCCUCUGGGUUGUAAACUGCUUUUAUCUGGGAAGAAAAAGGCCAUGCGUGGCAAAUUGCCGGUACCAGAUGAAUAAGCACCGGCUAACUCCGUGCCAGCAGACGCGGUAAUACGGAGGGUGCGAGCGUUGUCCGGAUUUAUUGGGUUUAAAGGGUGCGUAGGCGGCUGAUUAAGUCAGCGGUGAAAGACUUCGGCUUAACCGGAGCAGUGCCGUUGAUACUGGUUGGCUUGAGUGUCGGAGGGGUACAUGGAAUUGAUGGUGUAGCGGUGAAAUGCAUAGAUACCAUCAGGAACACCGAUAGCGAAGGCAUUGUACUGGCCGACAACUGACGCUGAUGCACGAAAGUGUGGGGAUCGAACAGGAUUAGAUACCCGAGUAGUCC